rnacentral:tRNA from 1 species
GCCUUCGUGGUGUAGUGGUCAGCACGCUCGACGCGUAACUGAGAGGUCAGUGGUUCAAUUCCCGGCGAAGGCG